GUCAGGGCCUUGCUUUCUACUUCCUCCAUAUACAGGUUCACCAUAAUAGGUGAAACUGGUGAUCCCAUGGCACAGCCAUGUUUUCACUUGUAGAUU